rnacentral:ncRNA from 2 species
CUUUGACGUAGAGGUGCGGUAAAAAAUAGUAACUUCUGUUGGGGUAAUGCCAAUGAACAAAAGUGAAAGGUUUUAUCGCCGAAGUAAGUAUGCACAUUAAAGCAGCUUGCUGGGGUUGUAUUCGAAUAGGAACAACACUGCCAUAGUCUAUUCUUUUUUUAAACUAUGGAGCGCUACUGUAGGG